GCUGUUCUCAUUUUAGCAGCCUAAAUACUAAAAUUGGAAUGCUAUAGAGAAUAUUGGCGUGGCCUGAGCGCAAGGAUGACAUGAAAAUUUAUGACAUGUUCCAUAUUUGC
rfam:Cavia porcellus supercont2_44 genomic scaffold, whole genome shotgun sequence.